rnacentral:lncRNA from 1 species
AAAAUAAGUAACUUUUAUAAAACGCGCCCUAGAGCUAACCAAUUUAAUAACCCAAAAUAUUAAAAAUAAUAAAAAGAGCGGCCUUAUUACAACUUAAACCAAAAUAAAAAUAAUAAAAAAUAAAUACGAAAUUUAAAAGGAAGCUAAUUGAAACUUAUUUAAAAACCAGAAAUUUAAUCUUCGUGGCCACUCUGAAUCCCGCCCAGCUCUAAGUCCAUCGAUCUAAGGCUCACCUGCAAAGAUGGGAAAAAAGGGGGUGAGUUUGGAAAACUCAUUGUGUAAAGUAUCCCAACCAGAGCCCAAAUCAGUUUAAGCUUUACUGGGCCUAAGCCCUAUUCAGAAAUCAAAGUUAACUGGGCCUUAACCCAUAUCAAUAUUAAUCUGGGCCAUAGCCCCUUACAGUAACAGAGUAUACUGGGCCUAGCCCAUAUCAGUAUCAAUCUAGGCCGUAACCCUAUACAAGUCGAGAUAUAUUGGGCCUUGCCCAUAUCAGUACAGUUGGUCCCAUUUCAAUAUAGUCUCAUAUGAUUAAUGCAUGAUAACCCCAUCCAACCCUGCACUUGCCUCCGUCCAUCCCUACACUUCCUGUGGGGAAUAAAUCACCCACGCCAUCCCUACACUUACAGUGUUAGCACCGGUUGCGGCACUAACUAUAAUCCGCAGCAAAGCUGCUUAUAUCAGAAUACAUGGCACAGCCACCAGAACGGGUUCUUCCUCCAUAACAAAACCCAACCCCAUGCAACAGAUAUACAUGUCAUGUCAUACAACAAACAAAAUCAGAAUAUCAUGCAUUUCAGUCAAAAUUAACCCUAGGGGUAUAACAGUCAUUUUACACCUAAGGGUAAAAUGGUAAUUUUCAUACUUAGAGGUAUUCCAAUAAAAUUUACUAUUCUAGAGUUUACAUACAUAUUAUAACCAUUAACACAUAUAAAAUUAACCCUAGAAGCACUUACCGAGCAUUUUUCCGCUAACUCGUUUUCAGCCCAUUAAGCCCAAAUAUACCGAAGUGCACGAAAUUGCGCACUCUGCAAUCAUACUGCUUUCGAUUACCAAAAUUAACAACCAAACCACCUCACAAGCACUCGCACGCUCGCAAGUUCACAAAUGCCGGCUUUUUAGCUUUUCGGCUUUUGUCGAUCUAGUCUAUGAGUGGGUGUCGUUUACACACCUGUUUUAUGACGAUUCGUUGACGAGAUCCACGUACGAACUGCCUAAAAUUGUAUUACUACCACGUUAAUCUAACUAUCGAAAAUGAACUACAUAUUAACUCCUUACCAUAUUCGGCCAAUAACACCUUAGGCACUAGCGAUCCUACCUUUGCCAAAGUUAGCGACUAGGUUUAGAUCCAGUUGUUCCACUUGUCCAAGCCCUUGAUCAACAGCCUCUAGAUCACACUAUUAUCAAAAUAAAGUAAUUAUCACAACCCUUAGGGCUAUAAACCCAAAUCGACAGCCUCCCUAACCUUUAGGGGUUUCGACUUUUUCUAAAGUACGAAAUAAAGACUAGGUUGGAAAGACUUACCACCGAUUCCUUCAAUCAACGAUUCCCCUUAGUUCUUACUCGAUUCUGAUGCAGUUCUAAGCCCUCAAAUGAUAACAAAAGUCGAGCCUUCAGUGAUCUCAGUAUUCGGCUAUAUCCCUAGGAUAGUGUGGGAUUUUCGGCUUUUUUUUGCAAUAGUGCAGAGAAAGAUAAAAUAUGAGGAUUUUACUGUGGUACUGUCGACAGAAACUUGGGGUUUAGAGGAUGAGAGAAUCGGCCAAAGAUGAUGAGAAAAAUAAGAGAAUUGGCUAAGGAAAUCGGUACAAGAGGAAUCAAGUUUUUAGGAUUUCGGGAUUUGAGGCAAUCGGCUAGUGUCUUAAAAAUAAUGGAAGGAAGAAUGAGUUUGAACCAAGAGAAAAUUAAUAACAAAGGAUCUAGUUUCGGCUUCUAAAACUCAUUCUGAGGUAUGCUUAUUUUGGUUUUCAAAAAGAAAAUCGAAGAAGAAAGGGUUACAAAAAUAGAAGAGGUUAUCAAAAGAGAAAAUAUUAAGAUUCGGCUAAUUGGGAAAGAAAAUCAAAGGAAUAAAUAAAUUAAGAAUAAGGGAGAAGAUUUUUUGAAAAGUGAAUGAGCAAAAUAAAAAUCAAUUGAAAAUAAAAAGAAAC